GUUUAUAAAUGUGUAAAUAAACUUUAUUCAACGUUAUAUGUAUUUUAGUCAUUUGUAUUCUUACAACAGUCGAACAGUAAAAUUGUAUUCUUACAACAAUAUAACAGUAAAAUUUAUCAAAUAUAUACUGCUGCUUUUUAAAGCUCAUAGCACUUAACUAAUUAUUUCUACAUUAAAAUUAACAACAAUUAUUUUAAAACUUACAAUGUUAUUGAAUUUGCCCUUGCAAUAAUAAAUAAUUUGAUUAAGAGAAAAAUAAAUGGGUUUUGAGACUUAGCUCCUAAAGAGAUCACAAUUUACUAUUCGCCUCCUAUAAUUUUCAUGAUACUCUUAUUCUUAUUAAAACGUUAACAGAAAGAAAACCCAAAAAAAAAAAAGAGUUGCUUUACGGUUGAACAAGGUUUUUGGACUAAAAUUUUUACCCUAACAAGAUAAAAUGGGUUUUAUGAGAAUAACAAAGGGGUAAGUGAUAAAACUCAUAAACAUCAGGGCCAAAGUGGUGAUCUCUCAAAAUAAAUUGAAACUACCAUUUAUAUGCUAGGAAUACCCGUACUUAAUUCUUAAGCUUAAUUAAUUAGAUGCCAUUAGUAAUGUUUCCAAAAGACAUUACAUAGCAAGUGACAUGUGCGCACAACCUUUCAGAAGUUUCAAAAGUAUGAAAUCAUAAGAGUGGGGCCAUAAAUAUUUAGUUUAAAACUAUUCUUAAUUAUAUUUUAUUUGAUCUUUGUCGUUCAAAGCAAAGAAAAUUUGUACUAACUCUCUUAUCUCAGGUGUUGCAUUGGACCCACCGCUAGCUAAUACAGAUGAAUCAAGACAUAUUUUUAAUUAUGUUGUUUAAUUUUGCAUUCCAAUCUAACCCUUGGCAAUAAGUCGAUCCGUAUCACAUAAUAAUAUAUCAACUUAAUUAAGAAAUUGAUUACAUUUGAUAUUUUUAAUGAUAAAAAUGUAAUUUUGAGUUGGAAUUGAAUGACAAACAAGCUGAAGGAUUCUAAAUUAACUAAACAACAAGUCCUAAGCAUGAAUGAUAAUUAGGCCCAAUUUAGAAUAUCUAUACUUUUAUAUUAAAAUGUUUUAUAAACACUAACACUGUAGUUUGAAAAUUAAGUUGAUUUAACUUAUUAUUUAUAUGA
rnacentral:lncRNA from 1 species